GAUGAACGCUGGCGGCGUGCCUAAUACAUGCAAGUCGAGCGAACAGACGAGGAGCUUGCUCCUCUGACGUUAGCGGCGGACGGGUGAGUAACACGUGGAUAACCUACCUAUAAGACUGGGAUAACUUCGGGAAACCGGAGCUAAUACCGGAUAAUAUAUUGAACCGCAUGGUUCAAUAGUGAAAGACGGUUUUGCUGUCACUUAUAGAUGGAUCCGCGCCGCAUUAGCUAGUUGGUAAGGUAACGGCUUACCAAGGCAACGAUGUGUAGCCGACCUGAGAGGGUGAUCGGCCACACUGGAACUGAGACACGGUCCAGACGCCUACGGGAGGCAGCAGUAGGGAAUCUUCCGCAAUGGGCGAAAGCCUGACGGAGCAACGCCGCGUGAGUGAUGAAGGUCUUCGGAUCGUAAAACGCUGUUAUUAGGGAAGAACAAAUGUGUAAGUAACUAUGCACGUCUGGACGGUACCUAAGCAGAAAGCCACGGCUAACUACGU
rnacentral:rRNA from 1 species